rnacentral:rRNA from 2 species
UGGAUCCAGACUUUGAUCAUGGCUCAGGAUGAACGCUAGCUACAGGCUUAACACAUGCAAGUCGAGGGGCAGCAUGAAAGGAACUUCGGUUCUUUUUGAUGGCGACCGGCGCACGGGUGCGUAACGCGUAUCGAACCUGCCUCAUACUCGGGGAUAGCCUUGCGAAAGUAAGAUUAAUACCCGGCGGUCUCGGAUGGCCGCAUGACUGUCCGAGUGAAGAUUUAUCGGUAUGAGAUGGCGAUGCGUCCCAUUAGCUUGUUGGUGAGGUAACGGCUCACCAAGGCAUCGAUGGGUAGGGGUUCUGAGAGGAAGGUCCCCCACAUUGGAACUGAGACACGGUCCAAACUCCUACGGGAGGCAGCAGUGAGGAAUAUUGGUCAAUGGACGAAAGUCUGAACCAGCCAAGUAGCGUGCAGGAUGACGGCCCUCUGGGUUGUAAACUGCUUUUAGUUGGGAAUAAAAAGAGGGACGUGUCCCUUAUUGUAUGUACCAUCAGAAAAAGGACCGGCUAAUUCCGUGCCAGCAGCCGCGGUAAUACGGAAGGUCCAGGCGUUAUCCGGAUUUAUUGGGUUUAAAGGGAGCGCAGGCGGCGGCGUAAGUCAGUUGUGAAAUCGUGCGGCUUAACCGCGCAAUUGCAGUUGAUACUGCGUCGCUUGAGUGCACACAGGGAUGUUGGAAUUCAUGGUGUAGCGGUGAAAUGCUUAGAUAUCAUGAAGAACUCCGAUCGCGAAGGCAUAUGUCCGGAGUGCAACUGACGCUGAGGCUCGAAAGUGUGGGUAUCAAACAGGAUUAGAUACCCUGGUAGUCCACACAGUAAACGAUGAAUACUCGCGGUUGGUUCGUUAGAUU